rnacentral:tRNA from 3 species
GGGGGUGUAGCUCAGUGGUAGAGCGCGUGCUUAGCAUGCACGAGGUCCUGGGUUCGAUCCCCAGCACCUCCA